UCUGUCAGUCUGUCUGUCUGUCUGUCUGGUGUUGGUGGGUCGUCAGUCCGUCCGUUUGCAAUAUGUAUGUCUUCAUUGUUUUUGUUUCUCUCUCUCUAGCCCUGGAAACAUCUUUCUGAGAAGAACGCGCUGGCCUCCAACUCACUCCUGCUGUGCACACACAGAAAUCACUGAGAUCCACCUGCCUGUCUGUCUGUGACAUGCAAAAGAAGAAGAAGAAGAAACUUCAUCACCCCAACAUAAAAAGGAAGACUCCUGCUUCACUCACUCAGGUGAUACAGGUCCUGAGCGGCUGUGUGGAGACUGCCAUGAUCUGAGGAUCCAUUCUCCCAGGAGCAUUUCAUUGAGAAAAUAUAGUUGCACCUAGGAUUAAACGGGAGACGAGGGGAAUACGAACUCUGGGUGGGUGGGUCUUAUGACAGGCACCAGCCAUCAAUAGGCUGUUGUUUGUUUUGAUUUUUGAAAAAAAAUUUUUUUGAGACUCGAUUUUGACCAAGAUGGCCCCUCUGGCUCACUGAUAAAGUGAGCUGAGCACUGGGAUUAAAGGCGUGCACCAACACUUCCAGGCCAGACCAGUCAUAUGUUAAUGUGAAGGCCAUUGAGUUCCUUCCAAGAGAAUGAGUGGAGGAGGCCCUCCCUUACACAAAAUGCCUGACCUGUCUGGGGGAAGCAGGUGCUUAAUGACACUGCCAUCUCUGCCCUACUAGCUCCCCUACUAGUAUUCCUGUUCUUGGUGUUCCUUCCUUAGGAGGGCACAGUGGAAUUCCUGUUCCCCUGGUUUCGGGGAUUUUAUUUUUCCCAUAAAGAAUCAUUUUGUUUAGAGAGCCCUCAUUGGCUGUAAACAAGUGAAUAAAUGGAUGGACCGAUAAAUGAAUGAAUGGAUGAAUAAAUAAAUAAAUAAAUAAAUAAAU